rnacentral:misc_RNA from 1 species
UCUCCGUUGGUGAACCAGCGGAGGGAUCAUUACCGAGUUAUACAACUCCCAAACCCAUGUGAACUUACCUGUCGUUGCUUCGGCGGACCGCCCCGGGGCCCAUCGGCCGCGGAUCCACGGCGCCCGCCGGGGGCUCGAAGGACUCUUGUUUUUUUCUACGCAGACUUCUGAGUGGCAUUUAUUACAAAUAAAUCAAAACUUUCAACAACGGAUCUCUUGGUUCUG